UACGUAGGGUGCGAGCGUUGUCCGGAAUUAUUGGGCGUAAAGGGCUCGUAGGCGGUUUGUCGCGUCGGGAGUGAAAAUCCAGGGCUUAACUCUGGACUGGCUUCCGAUACGGGCAGACUAGAGGUAUGCAGGGGAGAACGGAAUUCCUGGUGUAGCGGUGAAAUGCGCAGAUAUCAGGAGGAACACCGGUGGCGAAGGCGGUUCUCUGGGCAUUACCUGACACUGAGGCGCGACAGCGUGGGGAGCAAACAGG
rnacentral:rRNA from 1 species